rnacentral:misc_RNA from 1 species
GAUGAAGAACGUAUCGAAAUGCGAUAAGUAAUGUGAAUUGCAGAAUUCAGUGAAUCAUCGAAUCUUUGAACGCACCUUGCGCCCUUUGGACAUUCCGAAGGGCAUGCCUGUUUGAGUAUCAUGAACACCUCAACUCUCACGGCUUGUCCGUGAUGAGCUUGGACUUUGGGGGUCUUGCCGGCCUGUGGUCGGCUCCUCUCAAAUGGAUCAGCUUGCCAGUGUUUGGUGGCAUCACAGGUGUGAUAACUAUCUGCGCUUGUGGUUUUCCAUCAGAUAACCUUCAGUGAUAUGGAGGUUCGCUGGAGCUCACAAAUGUCUCUCCUUAGUGAGGACAGCUCUUUGAACGUUUGAUCUCAAAUCAGGUAGGACUACCCGCUGAACUUAAGCAUAUCAAUAAGCGGAGGA